CACCUCAGCUUCCUCCGCACGGUUAUCCCUGUACCCGCCGCCAUCCAUCCUGGCGCUCCGGAUGAGUCAAUGAGGGGCAGCGCCCGAGGAAUGGUCUUCCCAAGAACCCCCGGUGGCCUCCCAAGGCCGGUGCUGUGUACCUCCUCCCCGACAAAAGGGGCAACUGAGGCCCCGAGGGGAGUGGGAAGAGCCGGCUGGACGUCAGGCCCAGCCGCUGGUGCGGUAGUCCGUCCCCUCCGCCGGGGUGGGCCCCUCGGGUUUCGCGUGUCCUCGGGAAAGAGACUGGCGGGCCUCGUGGGCUGUGCGGCUCUCCUGGAGACAGAUGACAGCUCUCCCUUGGAUGGCUUUGCUAGUUUCGCACCAGCCAGCGCCCCAUUUUUCCUGCAGCACCCUGAUCCGCACUCCCUGAGGGGCUCCCACUGUCCGCGGUGUGAGGAUGUCCCUGGAAAUUGGUCUUCUGUGACUUUCUUGAUGGGGGCAGGUGAGAUGUUUGUACUGCAUUAAGUGGAUAGCGCUCAGGUCCUUUGGGCUUGGCGCUUUGGCAAUCUCCAAGCAGCUCACUUUGGCCUCAGUUCCUGGAUCCCCUCUGUUCUUUUCUGCGCCUGCAUUCAUAGUCCACUGUGUGCAGAGGCAUGGGAGUUGUCAUGUCGAUAACAUGCUAGACCUCAGUGUCCUUGAGGGAUGCCGCCUUGGGUCUGGAGACUGUUAGAGGAAACCCCAAGAGGUGCAAGCACUGAGCCUCUCAGGACAAUGACCUGGGAUUCCACCUCCCCUGGAGGGGCCUCCUCAUGAUUGUUUGGGGGUUGAUCACAGACCAAGAGUGAUGAGUGAUGUCACCCUGUGAUGCAUGGCUGGACCUUCUUGCCCCUAUUGUCUCAGCACAACAUUAAUCGACUUUUCCCUCAGCGUGGGUGGGCAGAGGAAAAGCCCUGUGGCUCUGGGGACUUGGGAUCCAGAGUUGAAGACCCUUCAGCUGGCUCUGCCCUGCCAGUGCCACAGAGUGCCAUGGCCCAGGAAGACUGGUUUUCUUCCAUCUAGGCCAGGCCAUCCAGUGGCCAUCCUUCGUGUCCUCCCACCUCCUUCUGGUGUGACUUCUGAAAACCAAGAAUUUGUUCCUGUUGACUUUUUCUGUGCUAUGGACCAUUGUCCUCUGACCCACUCAAUAAAUCUUGAAACAUGC
rnacentral:lncRNA from 1 species